UACGUAGGGUGCAAGCGUUGUCCGGAAUUAUUGGACGUAAAGAGCUCGUAGGCGGUCUGUCGCGUCGGAUGUGAAAACCCAGGGCUCAACCCUGGGCCUGCAUUCGAUACGGGCAGACUAGAGUUCGGUAGGGGAGACUGGAAUUCCUGGUGUAGCGGUGAAGUGCGCAGAUAUCAGGAGGAACACCGGUGGCGAAGGCGGGUCUCUGGGCAGUAACUGACGCUGAGGAGCGAAAGCGUGGGGAGCGAACAGG
rnacentral:rRNA from 1 species